CCUACGGGAGGCAGCAGUGAGGAAUUUUCCGCAAUGGGCGAAAGCCUGACGGAGCAAUACCGCGUGAGGGAUGAAGGAUUUUGGUCUGUAAACCUCUUUUCUCAAGAAAGAAGUUCUGACGGUACUUGAGGAAUAAGCAUCGGCUAACUCCGUGCCAGCAGCCGCGGUAAUACGGGGGAUGCAAGCGUUAUCCGGAAUGAUUGGGCGUAAAGCGCCUGUAGGUUGUUUAUUAAGUCCGUUGUUAAAGCCUAGGGCUCAACCCUAGAAAAGCAAUGGAAACUAGUAGACUAGAGUAUGGCAGGGGUAGAGGGAAUUUCUAGUGUAGCGGUGAAAUGCGUAGAUAUUAGAAAGAACACCGGUGGCGAAAGCGCUCUACUGGACCAUUACUGACACUCAGAGGCGAAAGCUAGGGUAGCAAAAGGGAUUAGAUACCCCUGUAGUCCUAGCCGUAAACGAUGGAUACUAGAUGUUGUGCAUUAUGUACAGUAUCGUAGCUAACGCGUUAAGUAUCCCGCCUGGGGAGUACGCUCGCAAGGGUGAAACUCAAAUGAAUUAACGG
rnacentral:rRNA from 1 species